AUACGGAGGGUGCAAGCGUUAAUCGGAAUUACUGGGCGUAAAGCGCACGCAGGCGGUUUGUUAAGUCAGAUGUGAAAUCCCCGGGCUCAACCUGGGAACUGCAUCUGAUACUGGCAAGCUUGAGUCUCGUAGAGGGGGGUAGAAUUCCAGGUGUAGCGGUGAAAUGCGUAGAGAUCUGGAGGAAUACCGGUGGCGAAGGCGGCCCCCGGGACGAAGACUGACGCUCAGGUGCGAAAGCGUGGGGAUCAAACAGGAUUAGAUACCCUGGUAGUCCACGCCGUAAACGAUGUCGACUUGGAGGUUGUGCCCUUGAGGCGUGGCUUCCGGAGCUAACGCGUUAAGUCGACCGCCUGGGGAGUACGGCCGCAAGGUUAAAACUCAAAUGAAUUGACGGGG
rnacentral:rRNA from 1 species